UUGAAAAGAGUCAUUCUCGCAGCAAUCCGAAAACCACCGUCUAGCUUGUGAUUGGAUGAUUGGGGUUAAUAAUUCCCUGAUGUCGAGGAAAAGAUGCAGCAAUUUUCCCCCCAAAUUCUAAGAAUAGAGCUAGAAGUUGCAAAUGUCAUCGCCUCUGGGGCGCAGAUGAAGCCUUCCUUUGCCUCCAUUAAAGAGCUCAUCAACGAUGUCCACUCUUCCACUUCCUCUCACCAACUGUUAGCUUUCAUUUUUGGCCUCAAGGAGCACUUAAUUGAAAACAGUCUUUUUUCAUUUUUUAAGUCUUUACUUUUUUUAACAGUGUUUAUUAAACUUCAUGUUUUGGUGUUCAUAGCAACGAACAAAGCACAGAACAGAGUUCCAGGAAAUUGUGUUUUGCUGUUAUAAACAUUUUAAUAGCAAUGCUUAGUUCAACUGCUUCUUCUUGCGGAAGGGAAAAAGAGUCUGCCAAGGUGGAAGAAGAAUGGACCCUCGAUGCGUAUUCAUUUUUGUGCAUUUUGAAUCUUGGAACGUCAAGUAGACAAAUUGGGCUUUAGACAAAUGUUCUACUUGGUGAAAGAGAAUGCUUUGCUUUCCAACGCUGUCAGGAGCUUAGACAAAGAUGUCUCCAAGACAAGAAAACCACAUGCAAAUGCAAAGCAAAGAGAACAUGGACAUAGGAGGAGCAUACUCUGUUUCUAGGAGCCAUAGUGCUAUAUGGAAGAAUGGCAGAGCAUGGAAGGUUUGCUAGGAUCAACUUCCACAAAUUCAGAGUACUUUGCCUCUGCCUCAGCACUUGCACCACCAUUCAUGCUUUGCUUCUGAUUAUAUCUAGAAGUGCAGUUAGUAUUUCUUUGAUGUUGGAACAAAGCUUUGGAGAAGAGAACUAAUUCAACAGGUGAGACAUAGUGAUCUCAACACCAUAUCCUGUUGUUGAGUUACUUCCAAUAUUGUUGAAGAGCAGAGAAGUACAUUAUGUUGUUGAAAGGUACUGCUUAUGGUGGUGUCUGAUCCUGCAAGUUGGAGUGAAAGUGGUCUUAUAGUAGAAAAUCUUGAUGACACCCUUUAUGCUUACAGUAUGGGGUUAUCAGCUCAAAAGGCAAAGAAUAUUAAAGAGCUAAAGAAGCAAAAAGUUUCUGAAGCAAGAUUGGAAUUGAUGAGGCAGAAGCUUUGGUUCCCUCGCCACUCUCUUUUUUUUUUUAU